UACAGAGGGGGCAAGCGUUGUUCGGAAUUACUGGGCGUAAAGGGCGCGUAGGCGGCCCGCUAAGUCAGACGUGAAAUCCCCAGGCUCAACCUGGGAACUGCGUCUGAUACUGGGAUGGCUUGAAUCCGGGAGAGGGAUGCAGAAUUCCAGGUGUAGCGGUGAAAUGCGUAGAUAUCAGGAGGAACACCGGUGGCGAAGGCGGGCUCUGGGCCGAUACUGACGCUGAGGAGCGAAAGCGUGGGGAGCGAACAGG
rnacentral:rRNA from 1 species